AAGAAAAGAGUGUGUUGGUGGCUGACUGU
rnacentral:piRNA from 1 species